CUUAGAGCAUGGUCAUUGAUUCCAUAGUGAACAGUCACCUCUUCUCUUUGUCAGGGUUGAAGGGAGGCACUGGGAAGGAGAGAUUAAAAGAGGAGAGCCUCCACUGAUUCUGCUCGUUUCAAGGCAUUCCUCUGCGCUCUCUCCCACUGCCCCCCUCUCUCUCACUGCCCCCCCCCGGUAUGACCCUGUUCAAGAGUGAAUAUCACAGCCUAAGACAUAGGACCAUGACUGGGGAACUGAGGACAAGCCGCCCAAAGGCAGGAACCAAGAGACCCAGGAGUGAGGCCUACAGAUCUGACUAUGACUUGGAGUACGACAGCUACCCAGAUGACCUCUACGGCAGAGUGUUUGACUACCAGCGUGUCCCAGCCUCCGUAAUGCCAGUCACAGUGGAGCCCAGCCCUAUGAAACACUCCCGUGAUCCCUCUUUCUCCUCCGGCCUGCACCGCUCCAGAGACAGACCACAGGGCAAGAGGAGCACACAGCGCACUGGCUCUUCCAGGGCCAAGUUGAAGAUGGCAGAGCUGCUGGCCAUAAAGCGGGAGUUGACUCUGAUCAAGGUGCAGAUUGACGGACUGCUCGACAGCGUGGACAAGAUGGACAGACAGAGGAAGGACCACUCAGAUUCACCUCCUACCCAGGAGGGCAGUGUGUCGGACUCAGUGAGCAGUCUGGAAGAUUCUCCCGUCAGCCUCCCACACAGACAGAGGGAGAGCCCAGAGCCUGGAGAGGCCAGCGAUGAUGACCAACACCUCCAACACUACCAGCGCCAAUGCAGGAUAAAUAACCAUCAAUCUGAUCUGGAGGAUGACAUGUGAGGAGAUCAGACUCAAGGACCUCAGUGACAGCAGCACACAGAGAUGGAGGGGGAUUGAAGUGAAAGGAGGCGUGUUCAUCUCUAAUCACAGUCAACAUGGACACAACCCUCAAAUAAAUAUACUGUUCAUUACAAAGUAGAGCUGGGGCGAUAAACCGGAAAUUAUCGACAACAAUUUAUCACAGGCAUUUUGCUGAUAUCGUUCAUUAAGAUAAGUAGCCUAUACUAGAGAAAUGUGAAGUUUGAAAUGAAAUAAGUUUGCUAAAAUGGGUGAUAGUCAAUGGGACAAUUGAUGGCUACAACCAUCAAACUAGUAGUAGUAGUUUAAAGGAUAAAAAAAAAAAAAACUGGUGUACAUCAAUGUUAAAAACGUAUCCUUCUAUUUAUCGUAAUUGCAUCAAUUCAGGCAAUUUUUCGCGAUAUGGAUUUGGUCCAUAUCGCCCAGCUGUAUUACAGAGUAGGAGCUUCAGUGAUUUGUUUUGUUUGAUGAAUAAGACAUAUCUCUCUGGUUACCCUCAGUUCCUUUAUCACAGUCAGAUUCUGCUCACCUUCGUGUCUCCAUCUCUCCUUUAAAACAGGUUCCUACUGACUUAUGAACUCAACCAAAUAUGGCAGCUUUAAAAAAACACUAUUGCACUUCAAACAAUAAACACACAAAUUAAAUUGCAAAACGAAUUGCAUUACUAAUUGCAUUAGUACUGUACAAAGUUAGAGGUGCGCUAUUUGAUAGAUUCCCCCGCACCCCCCAUCUCGCUUCCAGUGUGAAGACCUGAUGUCAACCUACCCCGCCCCCUCCCCAUCUCGUACUUCUGAGUUGGAGACCUUCCCAGGCAGUAGCCUGCCUAGCUCACAAACUAGAAUCAGGGCGCCCACUCCGACAAGGUUAAUUGACCCACAGUCCCACACGGCGACAUUAUAUCAUUGACGUGACGUGCAAAUGAGCGAUAGAAAAUCGAUUGUUUUUUUUUUUGUGUGUAAGAUGCCGCCAUGUCGUCUAUGCCUAAAUCCACCACUGCGGAUAUGCUUCAGACAGACCGACAACUACAUUUUCUCUCAGAUUAGAGAUAAGGAUUUGCAAUGCUGUUUGCCACUUACUGUAUCCAGUUCGCCACAUAAUUGGAAUGUGUAAUACAUCAAUUCAUAUAAAAAGCCAUUCAAGAUUUACCAGGCAUAGGCCAACAGUAUCAGGCAUCUACACUACAUGUGCGUUCUCCUGUAAUCUUUCCAUAUUUGUCUCUACCAAUUUCCCAGUGUCCACAUUAAUAAAGACUGUCAGUGUGAUAACAGCUGUCUGCAUGGUGUUAUCACUGGGCUUGUAAUCACCAUGCCUGUUGUCAUUAUUUGAAGCUAGCCAUGUUUGGAACUGACAAAGUGGUGCCCCUAUAAAACCCCAGGGACCAGUGUGCAUGGGGUUAUGGCUUUGGUGAAUUUGUGUUAAUUUGACUGAUUGAGAAACUUGAUUAUGAACCUAGAGGAGUCACUGCUGUUGUUUAAGAAUGGGUACUGCCCUCCCCUCACUGUCCCCACUGUAGAAGGGAGAUAUGUACAUGUACAGUAGAUGUUGAGUACUUAUAAACCAAACCACCAUGUUUUGUCAUUGUCAAUGACUUGAGGAGGGAUUUGGUUGAUUGAGUUAUUUUGGGGACCAUUACGGCUGGUGUCAAACUUAGAGGGUGCUUCAAUGUCACAACUGAAAACUAUUGUUCAUUGUAAAUAGUCAUAACAAUUGUCAAUAAUGCUAACGUUACUGUAUAACGUUUUACUCAUAUAAAUAGAUUCUGUUUCUAUGGUUUUACUAUACCAUGAUGACUGUUUGAAAACAACAGUUGAAAAAAGUACAUUUUACUUUCUAAGCAGCAAGAAAAUUAUUCAAGACUGUAUUUAUGUACUCUGAAAAAAGAAAGAACAUUGAAGAACAUUAUACAACUUGAUGAAUUGACUUACAAUUGUCAUUGUUCUUGUUAUAUUCCCAUUCAUUCAUUAUAUAAAACAUUUUGCUUUUACUUUGCGUUAUUAUAUAGUAGGGCUGUCAGAGUUAAUCAGUUAACUCAAGUUAACUUUUUAUAAUUUUAGUCCACACUUUUUUAAAUCGUGAUUAAUCGCAUUGAAAAAAUAACGGAAAAUAUCCAACACACAUAAAAACAACUAUGUUAUGUCAAAACAAGUUGACAUUGAGGUUAAAGAAAGUAAGUAUGCUUGAUUACCUGAUUUUGCUUACCAGUACUUUGGACAAAAUCAAGACGCCAAUAUUCUUAAAAUGCUUUUUGUAUGAACAUUCUUAAAUUACAGCUCAAUUUGAUCAAAUUCUGAAUUUGAGGUUGUGAUUAAUCGCUGCAAAUCCUGCUAUUAACUCAAUUGCAUUUAAAAAAAAAUGGUUUGACAGCCCUAUUAUGUUUAAUGAAGCCAGGUGGCUCUUUGUGUUUAAUAAAUACUAAAUGUGAACUAUACAUUGUGAUAGUAGGCUUAGUAAAUGUACAACUAUGUUCAUAUAACUGAGUGGUUCAGUUCAUUUGACCGUACAUUAGAGGAGUAGUCUAGGCCUAGAAAAGUGGUAGCUUAUUGAUUUCCAUUGUUCUCUGUACCCCACUCACUAAUUCACCUGACUUGUAUAUUCAUAAACCAAGUUGUUAACAAUUAGCCCAGUGGUUUGGACAUUAUUAUAUAUAUUUUUUAUCUGUGGACUAUUCCAAUUUGAUUGUGCAUUGUCUCUUAUCUUGUUAUGGGCAAUUAAGUCGGACACACAACCACAAUAAACACUUUAUCAACCAUGUGGCCAAACUUUGUCAAUAUUGACAAGAUUAGGAACAGUAAACUUAGGUUAUUUUAGAGAUAUGUCUGGUCAACCUUUGGCACCUGACGUUUGUUUGCGCAUAGUGAAUCCAGAGUGAGUUGCCCUCGCAAAGGAUGAAAAUGAACUAUUACUAUUCUGUCUUGUUUGAUACAACUGCACUACGAGUGAGUGUUGAGACCCAAAUAAACUCUAGUUUCAUAUAGGCUGUAGAAGUAAAACAACAAGUUAUCCGCGUCGAGGAGGACUACACAGCGGUGUCUUCUGUUGUACGUGACACGGUCCCCUAAAUCAAGCCGCAAUUCUGCAUUGUAACCAG
rnacentral:lncRNA from 13 species